rnacentral:rRNA from 1 species
CAGUAGCCGCGGGAAUACGUAGGGCGCAAGCGUUGUCCGGAAUUAUUGGGCGUAAAGAGCUCGUAGGCGGUCUGUCGCGUCUGGUGUGAAAUCCCGAGGCUCAACCUCGGGCUUGCAUCGGGUACGGGCAGACUAGAGUGCGGUAGGGGAGACUGGAAUUCCUGGUGUAGCGGUGGAAUGCGCAGAUAUCAGGAGGAACACCGAUGGCGAAGGCAGGUCUCUGGGCCGCAACUGACGCUGAGGAGCGAAAGCAUGGGGAGCGAACAGGAUUAGAUACCCGUGUAGUCCCUGUCUCUUAUAA